rnacentral:rRNA from 1 species
AUUGAACGCUGGCGGAAUGCUUUACACAUGCAAGUCGAGCGGCAGCGCGGGGCAACCUGGCGGCGAGCGGCGAACGGGUGAGUAAUACAUCGGAACGUGCCCAGACGUGGGGGAUAACUACUCGAAAGAGUGGCUAAUACCGCAUACGAUCUAAGGAUGAAAGCGGGGAUCGCAAGACCUCGCGCGUUUGGAGCGGCCGAUGGCAGAUUAGGUAGUUGGUGGGGUAAAGGCUUACCAAGCCCGCGAUCUGUAGCUGGUCUGAGAGGAUGAUCAGCCACACUGGGACUGAGACACGGCCCCAGACUCCUACGGGAGGCAGCAGUGGGGAAUUUUGGACAAUGGGCGAAAGCCUGAUCCAGCCAUCCGCGU